AUUGAACGCUGGCGGCAGGCCUAACACAUGCAAGUCGAGCGGAUGAAGGGAGCUUGCUCCUGGAUUCAGCGGCGGACGGGUGAGUAAUGCCUAGGAAUCUGCCUGGUAGUGGGGGAUAACGUCCGGAAACGGGCGCUAAUACCGCAUACGUCCUGAGGGAGAAAGUGGGGGAUCUUCGGACCUCACGCUAUCAGAUGAGCCUAGGUCGGAUUAGCUAGUUGGUGGGGUAAAUGCCUACCAAGGCGACGAUCCGUAACUGGUCUGAGAGGAUGAUCAGUCACACUGGAACUGAGAUACGGUCCAGACUCCUACGGGAGGGAGCAGUGGGGAAUAUUGGACAAUGGGCGAAAGCCUGAUCCAGCCAUGCCGCGUGUGUGAAGAAGGUCUUCGGAUUGUAAAGCACUUUAAGUUGGGAGGAAGGGCAGUAAGUUAAUACCUUGCUGUUUUGACGUUACCAACAGAAUAAGCACCGGCUAACUUCGUG
rnacentral:rRNA from 1 species